GGAAGCAUGGCUCAAAUGGUAGAGCACCAGCCUAGAAAGCACAAGGCCUUGAGUUCAAAUCCCAGUACUUCCA
rnacentral:tRNA from 1 species